rnacentral:lncRNA from 1 species
UUCCAAAACAGAUCGCAUGGAAUUGGUUUUAAUUCCCUGAAUAAAUAAAGAUGAUAUAGCAGCUUCAAGCAGAAGAAACACCUAUGGAUGAUCUAAGCACAAAAGACAGCUUGAGGAGUGCAUCUUAGUGUCUGCGGUUUCUUUCGGACCUACCGCCCCCCGACAGAGGCCCACUUGGAUGUGGCCUGGCCCCUUAGGAGGAAGACGGGCACCAGAAUGCGUGCAGUGGCAGCGCAGUCUACUCUUGAUGCUUUAGCGUUCCUGGUCAACUCUUGGAAGAAAA